UACUCCUACGGGAGGCAGCAGUGGGGAAUAUUGCGCAAUGGGGGAAACCCUGACGCAGCAACGCCGCGUGAGUGAUGAAGGUCUUCGGAUUGUAAAACUCUGUCUUUUGGGACGAUAAUGACGGUACCAAAGGAGGAAGCCACGGCUAACUCCGUG
rnacentral:rRNA from 1 species